rnacentral:rRNA from 1 species
GACGAACGCUGGCGGCGUGCUUAACACAUGCAAGUCGAACGGAAAGGCCCUGCUUUUGUGGGGUGCUCGAGUGGCGAACGGGUGAGUAACACGUGAGUAACCUGCCCUUGCCUUUGGGAUAACUUCAGGAACCUGGGGCUAAUCCCGGAUAGGAGCUCCGGCUGCAUGGUGGGGGUUGGAAGGUUUCGGCGGUUGGGGAUGGACUCGCGGCUUAUCAGCUUGUUGGUGGGGUAGUGGCUUACCAAGGCUUUGACGGGUAGCCGGCCUGAGAGGGUGACCGGCCACAUUGGGACUGAGAUACGGCCCAGACUCCUACGGGAGGCAGCAGUGGGGAAUAUUGCACAAUGGGCGGAAGCCUGAUGCAGCAACGCCGCGUGCGGGAUGACGGCCUUCGGGUUGUAAACCGCUUUCGCCUGUGACGAAGCGUGAGUGACGGUAAUGGGUAAAGAAGCACCGGCUAACUACGUG